GCUGUAGCUCAAUGGCAGACCAUCUGCUUUGCAUGCAGAAGGUCCCAGGUCCAAGCCCUGGCAUCUCUA